rnacentral:rRNA from 1 species
GACGAACGCUGGCGGCGUGCCUAAUACAUGCAAGUAGGACGCAGUUGCGAACGGGUGAGUAACGCGUAGGUAACUACCUAUUAGAGGGGGAUAACUAUUGGAAACGAUAGCUAAUACCGCAUACUAGUAGAUGGACCUGCGUUGUAUUAGCUAGUAGGUAGGGUAAUGGCCUACCUAGGACACGAUACAUAGCCGAGCUGAGUGGGAGAGCGGCCAAACGGGGACCGGGAAAAGGCCCAAACUCCUAAGGGAGGCAGCAGUAGGGAAUCUUCGGCAAUGUGGGGAACCCUGAACGAGCAACGGCGCGUGAGUGAAGAAGGUUUUCGGAUCGUAAAGCGCUGUUGUUAAGGAAGCGGUACUUAACCAGAAAGUGACGGCUAACUCCGUGCCAGCAGCCGCGGUAAUAC